rnacentral:rRNA from 1 species
UGUAUUAGCUAUAUUAAUACUAUAUAUAUAUAUGCCCACUGAAGCUAAGCAGGGUUGAGCCUGGUCAGUACCUGGAUGGGAGACCUCCUGAGAAAACUAGGUUGCUGUUGGAA